GAUGAACGCUAGCGGCAGGCUUAAUACAUGCAAGUCGAGGGGCAGCAUGAUUGUAGCAAUACAAUUGAUGGCGACCGGCAAACGGGUGCGGAACACGUACACAACCUUCCAAUAAGUGGGGAAUAGCCCAGAGAAAUUUGGAUUAAUACCCCGUAACAUAACGAUGUGGCAUCACAUUGUUAUUAUAGAUUUUUCGCUUAUUGAUGGGUGUGCGGCUGAUUAGAUAGUUGGCGGGGUAACGGCCCACCAAGUCUACGAUCAGUAGCUGAUGUGAGAGCAUGAUCAGCCACACGGGCACUGAGACACGGGCCCGACUCCUACGGGAGGCAGCAGUAAGGAAUAUUGGACAAUGGACGCAAGUCUGAUCCAGCCAUGCCGCGUGAAGGAUUAAGGUCCUCUGGAUUGUAAACUUCUUUUAUAAGGGACGAAAAAAGGCUUUUCUAAGUCGUCUGACGGUACCUUAUGAAUAAGCACCGGCUAACUCCGUGCCAGCCGCCGCCGUAAUAC
rnacentral:rRNA from 1 species